rnacentral:rRNA from 1 species
UACGUAGGUGGCAAGCGAUACUCGGAAUCACUAGGCGUAAAGCGCAGGUAGGCGGUUUGGUAAGUCUUUUGUGAAAGCUCCCGGCUUAACUGGGAGAGGUCAAGGGAAACUACCGGACUAGAGUGUGGUAGGGGAUACUGGAAUUCCUGGUGUAGCGGUGAAAUGCGUAGAUAUCAGGAGGAACACCGGUGGCGAAGGCGGUUCUCUGGGCAUGUUCUGACGCUGAGGAGCGAAAGUGUGGGGAGCGAACAGG